rnacentral:rRNA from 1 species
CGGGGUGGAGUAAUGUCUGGGAAACGUGCCUGAUGGAGGGGGAUAACUGCUGGAAACGGUAGCUAAUACCGCAUAACGUCGCAAGACCAAAGAGGGGGACCUUCGGGCCUCUUGCCAUCGGAUGUGCCCAGAUGGGAUAGCUAGUAGGUGGGGUAACGGCUCACCUAGGCGACGAUCCCUAGCUGGUCUGAGAGGAUGACCAGCCACACUGGAACUGAGACACGGUCCAG